CAAACGGCCCUUUUCAGGGCCAACAAAAGUUUUCAACGAUGGAAUU
rfam:Melipona quadrifasciata isolate 0111107301 unplaced genomic scaffold scaffold32, whole genome shotgun sequence.